GAAAUCUAUCACUGCUUUUUAGGAUAAGUUUGACUUUUGUUCAAAUAAAAAUGCAAAAGGAAAGUGUAUCCUAAAAGGCAAUGACAGUUUAAUGUGUUU
rnacentral:pre_miRNA from 10 species